GCGGACGUGGCGAAAUCGGUAGACGCAGCAGACUUAAAAUCUGCCUCCCGUAUGGGAGUACGGGUUCGAGUCCCGUCGUCCGCA
rnacentral:tRNA from 1 species